GAUGGGCAAGUGAUGAAGCUCAUUAUACAAAUGGGUAAUUUGCGUCUGAAAUUUUUGUUGAUGCGUAUCACCUUGGAGACCUGAUGCCCUUC